rnacentral:lncRNA from 1 species
AAACCCAACAGGUUGCUCAUAUGGCAGCUGCUGUCUCCUGUGACAGAUAAAGAACAAAACAGCAAGACAGCAUAUUGGGGCUGUGUGAUACUCCCUAACUGUCACACACACACAGACACAAUUGCACAGUUUGCAGGUUCUUAGAAGGCUUUCAUGAAAAUUCGUACAACAGCUAGUGUGGUGCAGUGUCUACAGCAUUAGAGCAUGUCCUGGGAGAACAAGAUUCAAAUCCUCACUCAGCCAUGGAAGAUCAAAGGGUGACCUUGGGCUAGUCACCGCCUCCUAGUAUAGCCUACCUCACAGGGUUAUUGGGAGAAUAAAGUAGAGGAGAGGAGAAAAAAUAUUCGCUGU